rnacentral:rRNA from 1 species
CACGUAGUUAGCCGGGGCUUCCUCCUCAAGUACCGUCAUUAUCUUCCUUGAGGACAGAGCUUUACGACCCGAAGGCCUUCAUCACUCACGCGGCGUUGCUGCAUCAGGCUUUCGCCCAUUGUGCAAUAUUCCCCACUGCUGCCUCCCGUAGGAGUUUGGACCGUGUCUCAGUUCCAAUGUGGCCGAUCACCCUCUCAGGUCGGCUACUGAUCGUCGCCUUGGUAAGCCGUUACCUUACCAACUAGCUAAUCAGACGCGGGUCCAUCCUGUACCGCAAAAACUUUGAUACUUCUACCAUGCGAUAAAAGUAUUUUAUCUCGUAUUAGCAUACCUUUCGGUAUGUUAUCCGUGUGUACAGGGCAGGUUACCCACGCGUUACUCACCCGUCCGCCGCUCUUUACCGAAGUAAAUCGCUCGACUUGCAUGUGUUAGGCACGCCGCCAGCGUUCAUCCUGAGCCAGGAUACAAACUCU